GAUUUCAGAACACAAGUGUCGGGAACAGUCCCAACCCAUCUUCUGCUGAAAAUAGCUUCCGGGCAGAUCGCCCUUCCUCUCUGCGUCUGGUAAGUCACCUUGUUGUGCCUCAUUCUCAAGCCCCAAAAGACCACCAAGGAGCCGAAUGCGAUGCAAUUGCACCAGGGUCUUUAUUUAAGCUCAAGCUUGGGCCACACCACUUUCUGUGAAGUAGCAGGGAAGGAAGGUGAAGUCCCGAGCUCUCGGGUGGGACAAGGUUUUAUAAGAAAUGGCAAGCAAGCGAUGGGGAGCCAAACCAUAAACAUAGCUUCUGUUUUCCUCCUGAUUGGUGGUUGUUAGGAAGGGAAGUGCCAGGGGCGGGCUUGUAACCUGGAGGUGCAGGUUUGUUGGGGAAUAGCCUGGAAACUAGACUCCAGUUCAUUGGAGAAUAAUCUAGAAACUGGUGCUAGA
rnacentral:lncRNA from 1 species